UACAGAGGGGGCAAGCGUUGUUCGGAAUUACUGGGCGUAAAGGGCGCGUAGGCGGCCCUCUAAGUCAGACGUGAAAUCCCUCGGCUCAACCGGGGAACUGCGUCUGAGACUGGAAGGCUUGAAUCCGGGAGAGGGAUGUGGAAUUCCAGGUGUAGCGGUGAAAUGCGUAGAUAUCUGGAGGAACACCGGUGGCGAAGGCGGCAUCCUGGACCGGUAUUGACGCUGAGGCGCGAAAGCCAGGGGAGCAAACGGG
rnacentral:rRNA from 1 species